rfam:Triticum urartu cultivar G1812 contig258807, whole genome shotgun sequence.
GUAAUACUCCCUCCGUCCGAAAAUACUUGUCGGAGAAAUGUAUAAAAAUGGAUGUAUCUAGAACUAAAAUACGUCUAGAGACAAGUAUUUCCGAACGGAGGGAGUACUUG